rnacentral:rRNA from 1 species
GACGAACGCUGGCGGCGUGCCUAAUACAUGCAAGUAGAACGCACAGUUUAUACCGUAGCUUGCUACACCAUAGACUGUGAGUUGCGAACGGGUGAGUAACGCGUAGGUAACCUGCCUGGUAGCGGGGGAUAACUAUUGGAAACGAUAGCUAAUACCGCAUAAUAUUGAUUAUUGCAUGAUAAUUGAUUGAAAGAUGCUAUUGCAUCACUACCAGAUGGACCUGCGUUGUAUUAGCUAGUAGGUGAGGUAACGGCUCACCUAGGCGACGAUACAUAGCCGACCUGAGAGGGUGAUCGGCCACACUGGGACUGAGACACGGCCCAGACUCCUACGGGAGGCAGCAGUAGGGAAUCUUCGGCAAUGGACGAAAGUCUGACCGAGCAACGCCGCGUGAGUGAAGAAGGUUUUCGGAUCGUAAAGCUCUGUUGUAAGAGAAGAACGGGUGUGAGAGUGGAAAGUCCACACUGUGACGGUAUCUUACCAGAAAGGGACGGCUAACUACGUG